rnacentral:pre_miRNA from 7 species
GACGCCGCUUUGAUCACUGUCUCCAGCCUGCUGAAGCUCAGAGGGCUCUGAUUCAGAAAGAUCAUCGGAUCCGUCUGAGCUUGGCUGGUCGGAAGUCUCAUCAUCUGCCUCCCUCG